GUGAGAGUGUAGGAAGAAGAGGAGAGGUAGUAGAAAAGUGCAGAAGGAAGUCAGUGAGUAUUGUUGGGAAUCCCCACGAUCAAAUGCUGGAGGUAAGAUGGCUGGAGAGGUGGAGCUGCAAAGGACAACCAAGUGAGUUUCCAGUUGAGUCCUUUCUUGUUGCUUGAGGAAUCUGAUAUCUAAUGUUGACAGCGAACAUGGAGCAAUCAGUCUAAAGACUAGAGAGAAGUCACAGACAGCUUGAUGAUGUGGCUGCCUCCAGCUUUGUUGACUGCUGCCAGGCUGCAACUGACUUGGCCCCUUCGAUGGAGAACUGCAGCCGAGAGGAAGAA